AGUGAACGCUGGCGGUAGGCCUAACACAUGCAAGUCGAACGGCAGCACAGUAAGAGCUUGCUCUUACGGGUGGCGAGUGGCGGACGGGUGAGGAAUACAUCGGAAUCUACUUUUUCGUGGGGGAUAACGUAGGGAAACUUACGCUAAUACCGCAUACGACCUACGGGUGAAAGCAGGGGAUCUUCGGACCCUGCGCGAUUGAAUGAGCCGAUGUCGGAUUAGCUAGUUGGCGGGGUAAAGGCCCACCAAGGCGACGAUCCGUAGCUGGUCUGAGAGGAUGAUCAGCCACACUGGAACUGAGACACGGUCCAGACUCCUACGGGAGGCAGCAGUGGGGAAUAUUGGACAAUGGGCGCAAGCCUGAUCCAGCCAUACCGCGUGGGUGAAGAAGGCCUUCGGGUUGUAAAGCCCUUUUGUUGGGAAAGAAAAUCAGCAGGUUAAUACCCCGCUGUUCUGACGGUACCCAAAGAAUAAGCACCGGCUAACUUCGUG
rnacentral:rRNA from 1 species